rnacentral:lncRNA from 1 species
UUUGAAACAACCAAAGAAAAAAUAUGGUUUUUUUUUCUUCUUCUUUUUUUUCUUAAAGAAAUCCCCUUUCUUUCACUUGGGAAAGAGACAAAAAAUGCAAAUAGUCGAAGGAAGAAGAGAAAUUUUGAUCCACGGUCAUUGAUUUUCAGGCGAGAAUGGAAGAGGAAUUGGCUAUUCCUUCUUGGUUUCGCCAUAUCCGACUCCUUAAUUACUAACAUCACUGCUGGAUUUUCUGAGGUGAAGAAUUCUCCCUUUAAUUGGGAGGGGGGGGAUUAGUGGAAUUGGAAAAUGUGAUGUUUUUCAUUUGUGCAAAAUAACAGAUGUUGCCAUUAGUUUACCAACCGAUAUUUGAAUCAUUUAUUGGUACUUCUCACUAUAUAAAGACUUAGGUGGAUUUUUUGUGAUGUUGUUUACUUCUUAUGUAUUAUCUGUUGCGUUUUCGUGACUGAUACACAUUCUUGUGGUUUUGCACCAACGUUAUCUUCAGUUUAUGUUUGUUCUACUGAGUAUUAGCUUGCAAUUGGUCAUGGUGACAAUCGAGCACUUGCAGCAUUUUAUUUUUUGAUUUUCAAGAAAUUUCCGUUCUUUCAAUUUUGCUAUGAGGUUUUUGUCCUUCACUAAGUGUUGGCUUGUAAUUUGAUGAUUUGGAAGAAAACAAACUUAGCACUUAAUUAGUUGCUUUUCAUUUAUUGAAAUAUAUGUUUAUGGGUGAUUUUGAAGGUGAUAACAUCUUUAGACUGUUGACCUUUCCAGUGAAGUAAAUUAGGGUCAUGUGGUGAUUGCGAAUUGUAAGAAAAAU